rnacentral:tRNA from 1 species
GGACUCGUAGUGUAGCUUGGAUAUCACUGGGGCCUCCGGUGGACCUAAAGCGGUCCAGGGAAAGCCUCAAACGGGGGUUCGAAUCCCCCCGGGUCCG